rnacentral:rRNA from 1 species
AGACAGCAGUCGCCGCGGUAAUACAGAGGGUGCGAGCGUUAAUCGGAUUUACUGGGCGUAAAGCGUGCGUAGGCGGCUUCUUAAGUCGGAUGUGAAAUCCCUGAGAUUAACUUAGGAAUUGCAUUCGAUACUGGGAAGCUAGAGUAUGGGAGAGGAUGGUAGAAUUCCAGGUGUAGCGGUGAAAUGCGUAGAGAUCUGGAGGAAUACCGAUGGCGAAGGCAGCCAUCUGGCCUAAUACUGACGCUGAGGUACGAAAGCAUGGGGAGCAAACAGGAUUAGAUACCCGUGUAGUCCCUGUCUCUUAUAC